UACAGAGGUCUCAAGCGUUGUUCGGAUUCAUUGGGCGUAAAGGGUGCGUAGGCGGGCCCUUAAGUCAGUGGUGAAAGCUCCGAGCUUAACUCGGAAACUGCCAUUGAUACUAUAGGUCUUGAAUUCGGUCGAGGUUGGCGGAAUGUGUCGUGUAGCGGUGAAAUGCUUAGAUAUGACACAGAACACCGAUUGCGAAGGCAGCUAGCUAGACCGACAUUGACGCUGAGGCACGAAAGCGUGGGGAUCAAACAGG
rnacentral:rRNA from 1 species